UACAGAGGUCCCAAGCGUUGUUCGGAUUCACUGGGCGUAAAGGGUGCGUAGGUGGUGGGGGUAAGUCGGAUGUGAAAGCUCGGAGCUCAACUCCGAAAUGGCAUUGGAAACUACCCUGCUAGAGGAUUGGAGGGGGGACUGGAAUACUUGGUGUAGCAGUGAAAUGCGUAGAUAUCAAGUGGAACACCAGUGGCGAAGGCGGGUCUCUGGGCCGAAACUGACGCUGAGGAGCGAAAGCCAGGGGAGCAAACGGG
rnacentral:rRNA from 1 species